rnacentral:rRNA from 1 species
UAGCUAGAUGGUGGGGUAAAGGCCUACCAUGGCGACGAUCUGUAGCUGGUCUGAGAGGAUGAUCAGCCACACCGGGACUGAGACACGGCCCGGACUCCUACGGGAGGCAGCAGUGGGGAAUAUUGGACAAUGGGGGAAACCCUGAUCCAGCCAUGCCGCGUGUGUGAAGAAGGCCUUUUGGUUGUAAAGCACUUUAAGCAGUGAAGAAGACUCUUCGGUUAAUACCCGGAGACGAUGACAUUAGCUGCAGAAUAAGCACCGGCUAACUCUGUGCCAGCAGCCGCGGUAAUACAGAGGGUGCAAGCGUUAAUCGGAAUUACUGGGCGUAAAGGGAGCGUAGGUGGCUCUAUAAGUCAGAUGUGAAAUCCCCGGGCUUAACCUGGGAACUGCAUCUGAAACUGUAGAGCUAGAGUAUGUGAGAGGGAGGUAGAAUUUCAGGUGUAGCGGUGAAAUGCGUAGAGAUCUGAAGGAAUACCGAUGGCGAAGGCAGCCUCCUGGCAUAAUACUGACACUGAGGCUCGAAAGCGUGGGUAGCAAACAGGAUUAGAUACCCUGGUAGUCCACGCCGUAAACGAUGUCUACUAGUCGUUGGGUCCCUUGAGGACUUAGUGACGCAGCUAACGCAAUAAGUAGACCGCCUGGGGAGUACGGCCGCAAGGUUAAAACUCAAAUGAAUUGACGGGGGCCCGCACAAGCGGUGGAGCAUGUGGUUUAAUUC